GAUGGAUGACCAGCUUAUAUUGUAUCUGGGGUGGAGACAGAAUACACAUCCCCAUGUCCUGAGCAAAGGACCAUCGAGUGUAGCGUUCACUUCUCUUCCUAGGAUGGGGGGCUCUGGGGACAAGCACACCCAUGUGGGGGAAUCCAGCAAGGACUUCAGGACAAUGAGCCAGAAAGACAAGAGUGGCUGUCACUACACUGGUGACCUCUAAGGAGGCUCCCAGUCACAGCAAGGGAGAAGGUAAACGUCACAGGGGACAGGUUCCAGAACUGAAAGCACGUCUGAACUAGGAGGGUGGUGGGGCAUACAGCUGCGUUCAGCUGUGGUCCCAGCUGAGGUUCCUCCCACUACAGAUGCUGUGGCCUCUGAGACCAUGGAGGCAGCCUCGUGCUUUCUCAGGGAAAACACCCAUCUACACAGGGACUGGCACGAAAGCAGCUGGCAGGGAAAGCUGUAGAAGCAGCACCUGCCCACAUCUGCCUGGAGUGAUGGAGGUGGCAAGGCCAGGGGCCACAAGCAGGGGCUCUGCAGGUAAUCAACUGCCUUUCACUCCUUGGCUGAUCUUCCCCUGGCUGUGUGAUCUUGAGUGAGUUCCUUUUCUUCUCUGAGCCUUCAUUUUCUUAUUUGUGAAAUGGGUGAGUGUGUGUGUGUGUGUGUGUGUGUGUGUGUGUGUGUGUGUGUGUGUGUAUGUGUGUGUAGGGGGGCUGCAAGGGGAGAAUGGAUGAGAGAUAAAAAGUUCAUCUCCUAGAUGGCUCUGUCACUGCAGCACCAAUGGUUAUGGACUCUAUGCUUGACCAUGAUAUUGGUUAAAAUGGCAGUGGCUGGAACACAUUAUCUCAAAGCCCCUCUCCUGGCUGGAUGGGGUGCAACAUGGAAACUCAGAAAUACCAGAAAUUAAACCUCACUGGUCUUGG
rnacentral:lncRNA from 1 species